AAAUGGACACUAUAAAGAUGGGGUUUGAGCAGAGAGGAGGCUAAUCUAUGAUCAAGAUGAGGGGGGUUACACUUCUCUGUUUGGUGGGGUUCAUUCUCGCAGCCUCGUGGCCUGAAAAAGGAGGCACGGUGCCACUUCAGUCGGCAAAGCAGACCACUCAGCCUCCCUUAAAUAUGUGGCACUUUCUUGCAAACAGCAAAGGUUUCGAGCCUAUACCCGCUGAUGGAACAGUGAUUGAGGGGAACCAAAAAUGAAGACAGCCAGCAGAGAGGCUGGACUGAUGGCAACUUGUUUUAAAUCAGAGAUGGAAAUGACAAUUUAAGUUUAUUUUUUUGGUGCUUCCGUCUCCUUCAAAUAAACAUUUCAAGUCUG